GGCUGUAUGGCUCAAUGGUAGAGCGCAUGCUUAGCAUGCACAAGGUCCUGGGUUCAAUCUCCAGUACCUCCA
rnacentral:tRNA from 1 species